UAUCCUUUUGUGGCUUAAGAGUUGAAAUGAUUUUUUACUGAAGUACAUUUUAAUCAGAGGCAAAUUGAUUUAAAGUGAUUCAAGUCUUCAUGGCAUGAGGGCUCUUCAUGCUCAGUUCCUCGGGCUUAGGAGUGGACUCCUCGGUUCAGAAGGUGGAAGAGGUCACACUUGGUCCGAGAGCGUGGAUGUUCUGGUCAUGUUUAAUUGAAAACACUACAUCAGCCUUUUGAAACUAAAUUUCGAGACCCAGCGAGUGGGGUUGAUGAUUUCCAGACAGCCUGGACAGAUGAGAUUUGGAGCUCGGCUCACAUGAAGAGGCAGAUGAUCAGCUGUGUUCGUGAGCGGUGCAGGCGUGCAGCUGUGAGGACAUUCCAGGGUCAUCACUGCCAGCUGUGACCUCGGGCCCCUGACUCUCAGUCUCGGGUUCCUUUUCCUUAAAUGGGACUCAUCAAAUGAAAACCUCUCAGUGUGGUCGUGAGGAUGAAGCCAAAUAGUGCAAACAAAAUGCUUAGCGCAGUACAGCGGUUUAUAGUCAAUGCUUUCAAUGGUGCUAGCUGUGAACAAUCGGUAACUGUAGCCAGUCGACUUUCAGGGCUAGAUAUGACAACACAUGCUGCAAAUGCCUCCAUUUUAUUCUAAUCAAAAUAUAUAAUCUGCAAAAUCCAAAGAAAAGAGGAACACAGUAUCUGUUUGGGAAGGCUUCCAUUUACAAUCAGCAUGUUGAAAAAGUUCACUUUUCAUUGUUUGGAGGACUCUGUUCCCAUAGCAACAGUGCUCUAAGUGGGGGUUAAAAUUCCAAGGACUCACUGCGGCAAAUGAACUCUUAGUUACCUGAAAUAUCGUAUGCUAGUCCUGACAGGGUCAACCAAUGACUGCACUUUACUGGUAAUGAAACAGAAAAUUGCUAUGAAAAUAAGAUUAAAAUAUUUUAAAAUCCUGUGGCUCAAAGGACAGCAGGAUGAACUAGGGGCCAAAUGAAGAAGCUGUGGGGCCUUGGGGUUUGGGAGACAGGGCACUUAAAUGUAAGGCUGUUUUCCUUGGUGCAAGGGCCCCCAUACUCAUCUGUAUUUGUCAGCCCUCAAGAGAAUCUUCACUGGCUGGUAAAUGAACAAGAAUAGUUGGAGAAAGAGUACUUCAUACAGUAUAAAAAAGACCCUUGGCCAGGCACGGUGGCUCAAGCCUGUAAUCCCAGCACUUUGGGAGGCUGAGGCAGGACUGCUUGAGCCUAGGAGUUCUAGACCAGCCUGGGCAACACAGCAAAACCCAGGGGUGGUGGCACGAACCUGUAAUACUAGCUACUUCGGAGGCUGAGGCAGGACUGCCUGUGCCUGGGAGCUUGAGGUUCCCAGUGACCUAUGAUUGUGCCACUGCACUACAGCCUGGGCAACAGCAGAACUUGAAAUCCAGGAGGCGAGCAGGUUUAAAGAUGAGUUCUCUGCUCUACUUUCCGAGCCUUUAAUAUGUUAAUUUCUUCAUGAGGUUCACAGCAUGUCAUCUAAACCCAAGUGACCAUAACCCUUUUUUUCCUGCAGCAUCUCUAGGGGCAAGUGUUCUGGGAACGUACCUGAGACAAUUCUCCCGCAAUGCGAAUGCGAGUCCUCGCAAGCCCUCCUCCCGCUCCUCAGCUUCCCCUUCCAGCAGGCAACCUCCCCCAAAACCCCCCUCCUGCUUUGCCUUGGGCUACUUGUACUUAAUCCAUCCAGAGGUUUUAGUUGAUACUCUAAUGUCAUUUCUGCAUUUCAAUCUGAAAACCAAACAGAUUUCUGACACAAAGAAAGCUUCAUAGCAGGAUUUCAGGCACCUUUAUUCAUGGCAGAUAUUUUUGGUCAGGGCAGCCUGCCUUUGAAAUCGUUCCAUUAUUUGAGGAGGUCGACUCCUGCCUAAGUCACAACUCUCCUACAACUGCAACCGGCCAUAUCAUUUCCAUUUGCCACUUAGGAGGCUUGAGAACAUCAGCAGGGACGCAGGUUUCAGCUGGUCUGGUCAAUGCCUGCAGUGUGUGCGGGGCAUUCAGGGGCUCCAGCCUGCAUCACAACUGGCCUGAUCAAGGGAGGUUCUACAGUUGAGUAACCAGAGUGGUGAAUUCAUUUUAUUACAGAAGGAUCUGACUCCUUUAUGUUCCCCAUGUAACUUGUAUACAGGACAAAUUAUUUCUUCCUAUGAUAGAUUUGCAAUAUAAACACCAAGACUGGUGAUACGAGAAACUUAAAAACAUCAUGUUUUUCAAUUUUUCAAGUUUUUGUGUAAAAGCACUUUGUGGUGACAAUCAUGGAUCACCUUCCAUGUCAUCAAUAUUGGCUUCUCGGUUUAGCACUCCUGGCACUGCAUUUUUGAGUGGCAAGAGUUAAAAGGUAUUGUCCCUGUCCUCUAUAAUCAGUAACAUUGUCACUCUGCAAGAAUUUAGAUAAGAAACAGUUUAAGUAAAAUAGUAUUUCUUAAAAACUUGAGUCUACUACACAUCAUUGACCAUAUUCUAGCCAAGCAGCUGGCAUGGGCUUAACAUGGUCUCUUUUCCUUCUCUUUCUUUUCCAGUCAGUAGCUCAAAGGAAAGAUGGAGUGAUUGAAUUUUAAAAUCCUGCCAGAUUUUUUAUGGUAACCAUUGUAGAUGAACCAUGUAGGGUCCUACUGAAGUAUUAGAAUCUCAUGCAAAACUCUAACAAAUGCCUCAUUACAGAAGGCUAUUGUCAUUUUCUGUACUGUAAAAGUUCUAACACAAGAAAGUGGCAGUGGUUACUUUUCAUUGACUUUAGCAUGUGACCUCAGGGACUUAGACAUAAGUCUAAGUUCUAUUCUGAGUUUUGGCAACAGAGCAGUGACAGAUAUUUCUGAAUAAACAAUUUUUAGGUGUUUUUAGCCAUUCGAAAAGUAUUGCCAACACACUAUUUGGUGUUAGCUCAACAGUCACUUUGUGCUGAGAAGUAAAGAAUUCUAAAGUCUACAAACAUCGUACUUCACCAAGACUAUAAUCGAAGGGUUUACUAUUUGUGUAAUAAGAAAAUCACACAGCAACUUUUAUCCAAACAGCAACUACUACAAAA